AAUCAACGCUGGCGGCGUGCCUAACACAUGCAAGUCGAACGCGAGAGGGGCUUCGGCCCUGAUUGAGUGGCAAACGGGUGAGUAACGCGUGGGUGACCUACCUUCGAGUGGGGGAUAACGUUCCGAAAGGGACGCUAAUACCGCAUAACAUCCUGUCUUUGGACAGAUGGAGAUCAAAGCCGGGGAUCGUAAGACCUGGCGCUUGAGGAGGGGCCCGCGUCCGAUUAGCUAGUUGGUGGGGAAUGGCUCACCAAGGCAACGAUCGGUAGCCGGCCUGAGAGGGCGGACGGCCACACUGGGACUGAGACACGGCCCAGACUCCUACGGGAGGCAGCAGUGGGGAAUUGUUCGCAAUGGGCGCAAGCCUGACGACGCAACGCCGCGUGAAGGAUGAA
rnacentral:rRNA from 1 species